UUUUGUAGACGAAUCGCGAAAGGAAUCACGUUCCAAUUUAACCUACAGAAAGACGAUCCAUCACAGCAGGGACUUCGUUAGACACACGAAGAGUAAUAACUGAUAUAACAGAAAUGCCACAUGGCAUUAUUCUAGUGGUUGAGUUUGUUAAUAUAGUUAGAAGGGUAUUAUUGUAACUGGGAUAUAUGGCUAUAUAAGGGAUUGUAUAGCUAUCAUUUUCUUAUGUUCAGUUGUAUACAUUUUCUCUAAUCAAUCAAUACAAUCUCUCUUGUUAUCCCUACCAAUUCUUUCUCUUCCUCUAUACCAAUUUUUCAUCUUUUGCAAUGUAGUUAAUAUGGUAUCAAAGUCACCAAGGCUAACGCCAAGGAUCUUGGUGGUCUCUGGAUUUUUUCUAUCAAGGGUUUUCUGUUUAGUUUUGGGGUUUUUCCUCUGGGUUUCAAGAUGAAGCCGGUGAGGCCAGUACGGCACCACUGCUUGGCCUUCACAUGGAAGACGUUGGCCUUCUCCUCUUCCUUCACCUUCAGAACAACCAACUUCAACACGAUGUUCUUCAUCUCCCCUUUGAUACUGUCAGUCUUGAACACCUUCUCUGGUAGCUCGAUUCCGGUGUUGCAUCUCUGAGCCAGGAAUAGAGAGUAGACUGAAGCUGAUUCAUAGAGCAGGUAGAGCACCAUCAUGAAUGCAAAGCAACGGCGUUUAGGGCUUCGGCUUUGUCCGUGGAACCCUCACUUUCUCUCUCUAAAACCGUCAAAAUUGGCAAUGGAGAGAGAGGAGGAGAGCUGAAAUUUGUGGGGGUUAUGGUUUUCAUGAAGAUCUGCAUAGAUUCAGAAAUUGGGGAUAUGAAUUUCAAAAUAAAUUAGCGAUUUAAGAGAGAUUUGGGGACGAUUGUUCAUAAAUAGGGAUUGGUUCUUUCUCCGUUUCUUGCUUUGAAUGCCAAAAAAUACCCAUGUUCUUUCCUUUUGGAUUUUCUUGAAUCUGAUUCUUAGUGUGGGCUAAUUCCUUAGAGAAUAAUCUUUUGAUGUCGAUAUAGCUGCUGAAUCCAUCAGGUUAGAUGGGGUUUCAAUGGAAGAUAGCACUUUCGAGAUCAAAGGAUUUAUGGGUUUUAAUUCCAAGUGCAAGAUUUCUGGGUUUAAUUAAGAGAUUGUGGAAAAGAGUUUCGGUUUUCCGGGGUUUUGAGUUUAGGUUGCUUCUUGGUUCUUGAAAAUGGCAACGGGGUGAUUGAGCUCUCUCGGUGGUCUACCUGUAGUGGAUAAUCUUGAGGAAGAGUGUAUCAAUCUUUUCUUGCAUGCUGAUGGCCACUCUCAUUGGCAAGAUCAAGAUCUGCAGAUUUUGAACUUUAUGCAGUCCACAUGUUUGAAGAAAUGCCUAGCUUAAGUUGUUUUGUGAAGUUAGUGAAGACACAUGUAUGUCAAGUUGUUUUGUUGUUUUUGGAUGAAUUGUCGAUAAACUACUUUUUCAUUCAGUGAUUUGAUUGGAUUACAAGAUUUCAAGAAAGUGUCAUUAUUUCUUGAUGGUUAAGAAAGUAUCAUUCUUUCUUUGAUUCCAUAGAAUUUGUCAAGAGUCUCAUUCUCUUGUUGCUUUAGAAUUUGUCAAGAGCGUUAUUCUCUUGUUGCCUUAGCAUUUGUGUCAAGAGUGUCAUUCUCUUGCUGCCUAGAAGAAUUUAGAAGAAUUUAUCUGUUUUGAUUUCUGGAUUGUACUUGUGUCUUUCAUCAUGGCUUCACCAACGGCUAAAGUUGUAGUCUUGUGUAAUAAUAAUGGAGUGAGCAGAGGUUUUGGUUUGUGUCUCAACUCUUUAGGAAGCUACAAAAGCUCUAAGUAAUCUUAGUCUCAUAGUUCCAGAUUAGUCUCAAAUACCUGGCUAGUUCAAAUUUCACUUGGAUACUCCAAGUUUAGUUUGAGAGGGGAGUAAUAACUGAUAUAACAGAAAUGCCACAUGGCAUUAUUCUCGUGGUUGAGUUUGUUAAUAUAGUAAAAAGGAUAUUAUUGUAAUUAGGAUAUAUGGCUAUAUAAAGAAUUAUAUAGCUAUCAUUUCUUUGAGUUCAGUUGUAUACAUCUUCUCUAAUCAAUCAAUAUAAUAUCUCUUGUUUCUCUCUACCAA